GCCCGUGUGACUGUUGUCAGCGACAGCUCCAGGUACGCUGUCAGCAAUGCUGAGGAUGGAGGGACCCACGCUGCCUCCUUUGAUCUCUCGUCUUCGGCUAUCACUGCAUGGAAGGAAAUCGACAGCUCCAUGGGUCCUGCCACCUGUUACUAUGCAACCGUGGGCCAUUAACCAAAUUUCAGAGUCAGCGUCUCAUCCACCUGACAAGCGAUUCUUAUGUGCUCAGAAGAGGAACCUCAUCUUAGAAGGAUUGACAUACUUUGAAAAGAUGGCCUUUAGAAGCAAGGUGAAGCUACAGUCAAUUGUGAGACAUGGUCUGCAGGAGGAAAAACUGAUGUGUGAGUAAGUCCAGUUGUGCUAAGAAUUUUUUUGCUUCCUGUUCUACAUUCCAUCCUUCUCUGCUCUAGGAGGCUGACCUCUAUAGACUGCAUCAAGGUUAACCCUUCCUCACCAUCUGAGAAAUGGUCCAGCCAUGCAAGGUCCUGGCAGAAGACAGUGAGGGUAAGAAGAUCAGCUUUGGGCUGGGAAUUGCCCUGGACUUUCGCCUGCUGACCCUGGAAGACUACAGUUUGUUUCCUUUGGCUUCAGUUCUCUCUGACUUGCAUCCUCUCUUUCCCAAGUAACCCCUCAAAUCCAGUAACCUCCUUGCACCUGCUGAUUUUAGCAUGGUUACUCAGUCUGAGUUUCCCUAAACGAAGAGACUGGUGACGACUUGAGUGCACAGUUUAUUUGGAAACUUUUCUCAGAGCACAGGAAUGAGAGGCAGGGGGAUUGGCAAGGAAGUAAAAGCUUUAACAUGGAUGAGUUAUUGAACUGGCCACAGCUCUCAUUAAGUGGCACUCAAUCCUUCAGUCCUCUGAGAAAUCUUCUGGAAUGCAUUGCAGAACAGCCUGCUGGGGAAGAUAUAGGCGCCUGGGCAUCCAGCUACUCAACUAAUUGUUGACCUGGAGCAAGAGAAGGAGCCUCCUGGAGCCUCAGUCUUCUUCCCAGGAGCUGGGGAGAAAUGCCUCCUCAGGGCAUGAUUGUGAAGCUUGAACAAAUGGCAGCUUACAGCCUCUAUGCAGAGUGGCAGGUUUCAGUAAAAGUGAGUGAAUCCCUCUCAGAGCUAUUGCUCUAUUAGGUUCCAUUUUAAGUCCCAUUUUCUGUAAUCACUUUGACCAUACUUAUUUACAUAUUUGAUUUUUUUAUCUGUCUCAUCUUCCUGACUUUAUUGUAAAUUCAAAGCCAAAUUUUACUGUCAGCAUUGUUUUUAAAAAAGUUAAUGAUCUUUAUUAAGCCAUUCUGUGUGUCAGAUAAGAUCCUGAAGCACUUCAUUUACAUAGUCCCAAGAGUGACCCACUGAGAUAGGAUAUUAACCCCAUUUUAGGAACUACAAAGCAAAGCUUACUUCAGACAACUAGUGAGGGGUGGGACCACAAUUCACAAGGAAGUCUGCCUCAAUUCUAGCUUCUACUUUCGUAAACACAGCGCCUCCCUCCCACUGGCAGGCAUGCAGUAGGAACUCCAUAGUCAUCUUUGAAAAUAGAUCUGAUCUAUGAGAUACCAUGCAACACAUAAAGAUGCCUGUUAAAGGUAGAACUAACUUGAAAAAGAUGUAUCAAAAUCAAAUAAAAUGUAUAUCAUGAUUACCCAGAAAUAGGUUCUUUUCUUCCCUUUCUCUACUAAACCUUCUCCAAUUCAGCUUAUCCUCACUACUCUGCCCAGCCUGCACUCAUCAAAAUCACUCAAGACCUCCAUGUGACUAUAUUCAGGGUCAUUGCUCAGUCAGUCCUCUUCCUUCUUGACUUCUCUGUAGCACUGGACACAGUGGAUUAGCG
ensembl:lincRNA